rnacentral:rRNA from 1 species
GACGUAGGGCGCGAGCGUUGUCCGGAUUUAUUGGGCGUAAAGAGCGUGUAGGCGGUCCGGUAAGUCAGCUGUGAAAGUCAAGGGCUCAACCCUUGAAAGCCGGUUGAUACUGUCGGGCUAGAGUCCGGAAGAGGCGAGUGGAAUUCCCGGUGUAGCGGUGAAAUGCGCAGAUAUCGGGAGGAACACCAAUGGCGAAGGCAGCUCGCUGGGACGGUACUGACGCUGAGACGCGAAAGCGUGGGGAGCAAACAGG